AACGAACGCUGGCGGCGCGCCUAAUACAUGCAAGUCGAGCGAGAAGACGUAGCAAUACGUUUGUAAAGCGGCGAACGGGUGAGGAAUACAUGGGUAACCUACCCUCGAGUGGGGAAUAACUAGCCGAAAGGUUAGCUAAUACCGCGUACGCUCCUUGGACUUCGGUUCAGGGAGGAAAGCGAUACCGUGGGUAUCGCGCUCUUGGAUGGGCUCAUGUCCUAUCAGCUUGUUGGUGAGGUAACGGCUCACCAAGGCUUCGACGGGUAGCUGGUCUGAGAGGACGAUCAGCCACACUGGCACUGCGACACGGGCCAGACUCCUACGGGAGGCAGCAGUAAGGAAUAUUGCGCAUGGGCGAAAGCCUGACGCAGCGACGCCGCGUGGGGGAGUGAAGGU
rnacentral:rRNA from 1 species